CAGUGAUUGUGAUCUCACUUCUCUUCCAGCAGCCAUAUUCCCGACAACAAGAACAUCUGACAGAGCUCCCCUGGGGGACUCAAGAGCAUGUUUCACUGUGCACCAUGCUGGCACGGCGGCUGGGGGAGUGGAGUUAGCUCCGAAUGUUUGUUACACCUCGCCGUAUCAUUACACACGACUAACCAGCUCGAAGAAAAGGAAAUGUCCGACCUCCUGACAAGCGUUGUCUGGUUUUCCUGAUUCAGACAUCCACGUCAGUCUGUAUCAGAUGGAAAAAGAGAAACGCUCGGCAUGAUUACCUUUUCUCUCUGUCUCUGUAUCUCACAGAACCUUUCGCUUUCCAAGACGAGACGCAACUGGAAAAGGACAGCCCUGACACGGCGAGAUGGACAGAUACUGCUGAAAGUCCAUCUAAGUCUCUGCAGCACAGAGUUGGCCGCGCACCGACGGGCCGAGGUCAGGCUGAUGCUCGCCCACAAGACUGCACGAGUGGAGAGGUCAGCGGAUGCUAUUUUGCCCAAAGAACCUCGAGCUGAGGCUUCGUGGAGAGGUGGGCUGAUCGCGGUGUCGCUGCCUCCGUCGGAGCCGUCACAGCGCUGCGUGGAGAGAGAAGCCAAACGCCGAGCCAGAGGCGGAACGGCCAUCUGGAGAGAGUCUUUUGGACCGGCUGGUCAAAUAGCGUGGCAGUGGUGUAUUCACAAACGCUGCAGUGAAAUAAACACCUGAAGUCACAUGCUCGGUAGCUCCGCCGUAGGCUUCAUAUUCUACAGCACAAAUUUUGCCCUUUUUAAAGGUUUAAAUGUUAAAUUGUCAACGACACAGCUUCAAAAGCAGAUUUUGCUUUUUUGAAAAAAGUACCAAGGAUGAAACAGCCCUUCAUGAGUUGCACAUGGUCUCCUGUAAAGACACAACUGAUUUAAUCGAGUUUGAACCUUGCAAGUUUGAUUCUCACGCUAAAAUAGUUCUCUCUACUAUAUCUAAAUUCCUCUGUACUUCAUGAUAAUGCACAAACUAAAAAUGCAAUGUUUCCAUCACACAU
ensembl:lncRNA